GACGAACGCUGGCGGCGUGCUUAACACAUGCAAGUCGAACGGAAAGGCCCUGCUUUUGUGCGGUGCUCGAGUGGCGAACGGGUGAGUAACACGUGAGUAACCUGCCCUUGACUUUGGGAUAACUUCAUGAAACUGGGGCUAAUACCGGAUAGGAGCUCCCGCUGCAUGAUGGGGGUUGGAAAGUUUCGGCGGUUGGGGAGGGACUCGCGGCUUAUCAGCUUGUUGGUGGGGUAGUGGCUUACCAAGGCUUGGACGAGUAGCCUGCCUGAUCGGGGGACCGGCCACAUUGGGACUGAGAUACGGCCCAGACUCCUACGGGAGGCAGCAGUGGGGAAUAGUGCACAAUGGGCGGAAGCCUGAUGCAGCAACGCCGCGUGCGGGAUGACGGCCUUCGGGUUGUAAUCCGCUUUCGCCUGUGACGAAGCGUGAGUGACGGUAAUGGGUAAAGAAGCACCGGCUAACUACGUG
rnacentral:rRNA from 1 species